GCGCUCAGGAUCACUAUCAGCAUAUGCAGCAUGCACACAGAGACUCAGAUCACUCAGAUUUAAAUAGUGCCGGGGGAAAUGGUAGUUGCGCGCAUGCGCAGAACGCUGGAACGCAAGCUAUGUGCUCCAUGUGCUCACGUCAUACCCGCGCGAACCCCGCAUCACUUCCGGUCCAGAGGAAUAUGGCCAAGAUGUCACUUCCGCCAGCUGGAACGCACUCCCAUGUUCCAGCGAUCGAAAAUGGAAUGAUCAGUGGCAGAGAGCCCCAGCAAUCAAUACAGAGAGCCAAAGACAGGUAAAACAAGGACAAAAAGUAGGCAAAGAAGAGCGUCCCUACAAUGGAUCUCUCCAACUGGAGGACCCCACACUAGUAUGGAUCCCAAUAAACUGCCACUGGGAGGGAUUAGGCCCCAAUUUUUAAGAGUAAUGCCAAAAAAAGGGGGAAUUUUUAAGGAGGCCCAACCCCAUGAAAUACCUUGUAGCUGUGUCUCCCUCAGAACACGAAAUAUAACUCCCACGCAGCAGUUCAGUACUGACACUGAACCUGACCCAAGAAAUCCUGCUCAUGCAGGCUGUUUACUGGGUCCUUCAAGUGAAGAGAGGCUGAACCUCAUUUGGAACGAACCCACGACAAACACAGGAAGGUGGCCAAAAAUGAAAAGUGUUUUAAGUCCUGUAGAAUCAGCUAAGGACAUGAAAGAAGACUGUGGUGUAAGGGGAGGAGUGACUCUUUGUACCUAUUAGUCUAAUUAAUUAAUCUAAUUAAUUCUUGUCCUGUUACUGCUAAGGGAGGAGCUAUCCAUAAGUGAUGCUGCCAUGAUUAGCCAGGAAUCUAAUUUGCAGUCAUAAAGGAUUUCAAGGAUAAACGGUAACGGGGUUGUACAUAAGUUUGAGCCCGUAUGUAAAAAUGUAUAAUCUUUCCAACAGUCCUGAUAUGGGGCCCCUGUCCCUCUAUCAUGGCACACUAAAGUAAUCAAAAGGGCCAUGUGCCACGGGAUUCCAGAACAUCUGGCCAUUUCCCCAGCAGCAACCUGGUGUACUGGGUUGCCAUAUCUCCACCCAUGACCUCACAAGUUCUAAAUUUUUGCAUUUUAGGUUCUUUCCAUUCACAUAGGAGGGUUGUGUUUAGAUGUCUGAGCCACCAAAGAUCAAGUAAUAUUUUAGUCAGCCACCUCUUUAGGAAUGUUGCCUAUUUAAAGAUUUGUCUGCAUAGUCCUUGUGAAGCUUAAGCGUUCUGAUGACUCCAUGUUGUAGCCGUGUGCAUUCUCCAGCC